GGAGAGGUCGCAUAGUGGUCUAGUGCGGCGGUCCCGAAAACCGCUAGGCCCGCAAGGGUCUCGUGGGUUCAAAUCCCACCCUCUCCG
rnacentral:tRNA from 1 species